rnacentral:rRNA from 1 species
UACAGAGGGUGCAAGCGUUGUUCGGAAUUAUUGGGCGUAAAGCGUGCGCAGGCGGUUUUGUAAGCCAGAUGUGAAAUCCCCGGGCUUAACCUGGGAACUGCAUUUGGGACUGCAAGGCUUGAGUGCGGCAGAGGAGACUGGAAUUCCGCGUGUAGCAGUGAAAUGCGUAGAUAUGCGGAGGAACACCGAUGGCGAAGGCAAUCCCCUGGGCCUGCACUGACGCUCAUGCACGAAAGCGUGGGGAGCAAACAGG